rnacentral:rRNA from 1 species
UGGGAGGUAAAUUUCUCCUAAGGCUAAAUAUCGGCGAGAGACCGAUAGCGAACAAGUACCGUGAGGGAAAGAUGAAAAGAACUUUGAAAAGAGAGUAAAAUAGUACGUGAAAUUGUUGAAAGGGAAACGAUUGAAGUCAGUCGUACCGACGGAAAAUCAGCUCUUCGAGUGCGAACUUGUGGGCGUACGUGAGCUUUAACCGGCCUCGUUGUUUGCGAUGUUUGUGCUUUUUGGGUGUACUUUUUCGUAUGGUUGGCCAACGUCAGUCUCGGUCACCAUAAAAUGAUUGGAGGAAUGUAGCUUC